rnacentral:rRNA from 1 species
UGCCGCGUGCAGGAUGAAGGCCCUUCGGGGUGUAAACUAGCUGUCAGGGUUCAGAGAAAGUGACUAACCCAAGGAAGAGGCGACUAACUCUCGUGCCAGCAGUCGCGGUAAUACAGAGGCCUCGAGCGUUAAUCGGAUUAUUGGGCUUAAAGCGUACGUAGGCGGACGUGCAGGCAUGUUGUGAAAUCCCCCGGCUCAACCGGGGAACUGCUUCGUGAACCGCACGUCUAGAGGCAAGUAGGGGCGGUCGGAACGAUAGGUGGAGCGGUGAAAUGCGUUGAUAUCUAUCGGAACGCCAAAGGUGAAAACAGGCCGCUGGGCUUGUUCUGACGCUGAGGUACGAAAGCGUGGGGAGCGAACGGGAUUAGAUACCCCGGUAGUCCACGCCGUAAACGAUGUGCACUAGAUCCUGGUUCCUCUGACGGAUUCAGGGUCGAAGCAAAAGUGGUUAGUGCACCGCCUGGGGAGUACGGUCGCAAGGCUA